rnacentral:rRNA from 1 species
GUAGGGAAUAUUGGGCAAUGGUCGGAAGACUGACCCAGCCAUGCCGCGUGCAGGAAGACGGCCCUCUGGGUUGUAAACUGCUUUUAUCUGGGAAGAAAAAGGCCAUGCGUGGCAAAUUGCCGGUACCAGAUGAAUAAGCACCGGCUAACUCCGUGCCAGCAGCCGCGGUAAUACGGAGGGUGCGAGCGUUGUCCGGAUUUAUUGGGUUUAAAGGGUGCGUAGGCGGCUGAUUAAGUCAGCGGUGAAAGACUUCGGCUUAACCGGAGCAGUGCCGUUGAUACUGGUUGGCUUGAGUGUCGGAGGGGUACAUGGAGUUGAUGGUGUAGCGGUGAAAUGCAUGGAUACCAUCAGGAACACCGAUAGCGAAGGCAUUGUACUGGCCGACAACUGACGCUGAUGCACGAAAGUGUGGGGAUCGAACAGGAUUAGAAACCCUAGUAGUCC